rnacentral:rRNA from 1 species
GUAGGUGGCAAGCGUUGUCCGGAAUUAUUGGGCGUAAAGCGCGCGCAGGCGGUUCUUUAAGUCUGAUGUGAAAGCCCACGGCUCAACCGUGGAGGGUCAUUGGAAACUGGAGAACUUGAGUACAGAAGAGGAAAGCGGAAUUCCACGUGUAGCGGUGAAAUGCGUAGAGAUGUGGAGGAACACCAGUGGCGAAGGCGGCUUUCUGGUCUGUAACUGACGCUGAGGCGCGAAAGCGUGGGGAGCAAACAGGGAUUAGAUACCCUGGUAGUCCACGCCGUAAACGAUGAGUGCUAAGUGUUAGGGGGGUUUCCGCCCCCUUAGUGCUGCAGCUAACGCAUUAAGCACUCGCCUGGGGAGUACGGCCGCAAGGCUG